rnacentral:rRNA from 1 species
CUGGCUCAGGAUGAACGCUGGCGGCGUGCUUAACACAUGCAAGUCGAACGAAGCUAAGGGAGCUUGCUCCCAAAGCUAGUGGCGGACGGGUGAGUAACGCGUGGGUAACCUGCCCUAUAGAGGGGGAUAACGUUCGGAAACGAACGCUAAUACCGCAUAAACCAUAAGGAGCUGCAUGGCUCUGAUGGCAAAGAUUUAUCGCUAUAGGAUGGACCUGCGUUGGAUUAGCUAGUUGGUGAGAUAACAGCUCACCAAGGCGACGAUCCAUAGCCGGCCUGAGAGGGUGAACGGCCACAUUGGGACUGAGACACGGCCCAAACUCCUACGGGAGGCAGCAGUGGGGAAUAUUGCACAAUGGGCGCAAGCCUGAUGCAAGCGACGCCGCGUGAAGGAAGAAGGUCUUCGGAUUGUAAACUUCUAUCAGCAGGGAAGAAUAAAUGACGGUACCUGACUAAGAAGCCCCGGCUAACUACGUGCCAGCAGCUGC